GUUACCUUGUUGACGGCGGCGUGUUCCCUCAGUGCCAGAUCCCAGAAGCGGCAUCCUAUCUGGUUGCCACACUGACCCACUGUGAGACCUGCGGAUAGGAAGUAUAUUGCUGACCUUCACCCUUACCCCAGUGCAGAGGGUGAAAUGAAGCAGAAGCAAAGCUUGAUUGCAUACACAAGUUGAUUGGAAGAGACAGCCUUGACCUUUCAUCAUAUUCCCCUAAAUAAUCCCCCCGAAGAAAUGCAUUAACUCUGUUCUACCUGUAUACAGGCUCUGUAUCUUGUACAGAAGCACGAGAAUGGAUGUUGCUGUGUUUUUCCCCAUAACAGUCAAGUGUCUCUAAAUUUCAAAUAAAAGGGUAAAGCUUCUUUGCUCUGCAUGACCUGUCCAUCAGUUCAGACUAGAGAUUGUUUUGGAGAAGAUUCCAUUAGGUGUACUCCUACCUAACCCUUGGGAAGCUCAUUCUUAGUUCAGAUUACCUGAUGGUGGACCAAACAGGAUAAAUAAUAUGUUGCACUAGGGAAGAUGGUUGGUAAAUGAAUAAAGUAGGGCAAAUGGUUGCACUGUCCUGAGGUACCAGUCAUCUUUAUAAGGUACUAGUUUCUAGAGAUUUAAUAACUUAAGAUCUCCAUAUUUGAUGCAAAAUGUAUUGCUGCUAAUGCUUUAUAAGGAAAUAAUGUAUAUAUAGCAGGUAUAUAAUUUAAAGCUUUAUUUCUUUAUUCUUUCUCAUUUUCAUCCUGUUUACAUUUCCAUAGAGAUUAUUCUGCUAAGGUCAAUCAACUGCCAUUGUUUUGGCUUUCAUUAUACAGAAAUAAAGGCACAAGCAUUUGA